GACGUAGGGCGCGAGCGUUGUCCGGAUUUAUUGGGCGUAAAGAGCUCGUAGGCGGUUUGUCGCGUCGUUCGUGAAAACUCACAGCUUAACUGUGAGCUUGCGGUCGAUACGGGCAGGCUAGAGUUCGGUAGGGGAGACUGGAAUUCCUGGUGUAGCGGUGAAAUUCGUAGAUAUCUGGAGGAACACCAGUGGCGAAGGCGGCAUCCUGGACCGGUAUUGACGCUGAGGCGCG
rnacentral:rRNA from 1 species